rnacentral:rRNA from 1 species
UUUGGGACAACUACCGGAAACGGUAGCUAAUACCGAAUAAUUGUUUUCUUCGCCUGAAGGAAACUGGAAAGACGGAGCAAUCUGUCACUUGGGGAUGGGCCUGCGGCGCAUUAGCUAGUUGGUGAGGUAACGGCUCACCAAGGCGACGAUGCGUAGCCGACCUGAGAGGGUGAUCGGCCACACUGGGACUGAGACACGGCCCAGACUCCUACGGGAGGCAGCAGUAGGGAAUCUUCCGCAAUGGGCGAAAGCCUGACGGAGCAAUGCCGCGUGAGUGAUGAAGGUUUUCGGAUCGUAAAGCUCUGUUGCCAGGGAAGAACGCUUGGGAGAGUAACUGCUCUCAAGGUGACGGUACCUGAGAAGAAAGCCCCGGCUAACUACGUGCCAGCAGCCGCGGUAAUACGUAGGGGGCAAGCGUUGUCCGGAAUUAUUGGGCGUAAAGCGCGCGCAGGCGGUCAUUUAAGUCUGGUGUUUAAUCCCGGGGCUCAACCCCGGAUCGC